AUUCCAGCUCCAAUAGCGUAUAUUAAAGUUGUUGCGGUUAAAAAGCUCAUAGUUGGAGUUCUGCCAGGUGGCGCUCGUCCGCCCAAGUGGUGUGUACAGGGCGUGCAUCUGGCCCUUUCAAGGGGAACGUGUCUGCACUUAAUUGUGUGCUGCUUGGAUUCGGGACCUUUACUUUGAAAAAAUUAGAGUGUUCAAAGCAGGCGUCGGCUUGAAUACAUUAGCAUGGAAUAAUGGAAUAGGACUUUGGUUCUAUUUUGUUGGUUUCUAGGACCGAAGUAAUGAUUAAUAGGGACAGUUGGGGGCAUUAGUAUUUAAUUGUCAGAGGUGAAAUUCUUGGAUUUAUGAAAGACUAACUACUGCGAAAGCAUUUGCCAAGGAUGUUUUCAUCG
rnacentral:rRNA from 1 species